rfam:Gossypium hirsutum cultivar TM-1 chromosome 1, whole genome shotgun sequence
AAACCAUGCAUCAGGCAUUUUCUAAUUAAUUCAUUGAAAUGCUCCCUUGCCUCGUUUAAUGUAUCAUCUUCAGAUUGUCUAAACGAUGAAAAGUCAUUCCUUAGCUU